CGAGACAACGAACCUUCGCAACGGUGCACACUUAGGGGAAUAUGUUCUCGAAAUUUUGAGAGGGAUCAUCUUAUUAUGCUACCGUCGUUCUAAGCAAUAAGAUGAAAAACAUGAUAAACAUCACAAUGCAAUCAUAUAGUGACAUGAUAUGGCCAUUAUCAUCUUUGCUCUUUCGAUCUCCAUCUUCAGACAUCGCAUGAUCAUCAUCGUCACCGGCGUGACACCAUGAUCUCCAUCAUCGUGUCU
rnacentral:lncRNA from 1 species